CCUACGGGUGGCUGCAGUAAGGAAUAUUGGACAAUGCCCGCAAGGGUGAUCCAGCCAUGCCGCGUGCAGGAAGACGGCCCUAUGGGUUGUAAACUGCUUUUGUACCGGAGAAAACCUCCUCUCGUGAGAGGAGCUGAUAGUAUGGUAAGAAUAAGCAUCGGCUAACUUCGUGCCAGCAGCCGCGGUAAGACGAAGGAUGCAAGCGUUAUCCGGAUUCAUUGGGUUUAAAGGGAGCGUAGGCGGUCUUAUAAGUCAGUGGUGAAAUCUCCUCGCUU
rnacentral:rRNA from 1 species